UGUAAAGAGGGGACUACACCCCAUUAAUGGAAUUACAACCCACCGCCUACUAAUUCAGCCAUCUUUAC
rnacentral:tRNA from 1 species